AGGGAUCAUUAUCGAGUUAUUCAACUCCCAAACCCUAUGUGAACUUACCACUUGUUGCUUCGGCGCGCGCUUCGGCGCCGCCGAGGACACUUAAACUCUUUGUUUUUAUAAGCAUUUCUGAGUGGCCGAAAGGCAAAAAUACAAAUGAAUCAAAACUUUCAACAACGGAUCUCUUGGUUCUGGCAUCGAUGAAGAACGCAGCGAAAUGCGAUAAGUAAUGUGAAUUGCAGAAUUCAGUGAAUCAUCGAAUCUUUGAACGCACAUUGCGCCCGCCAGCAUUCUGGCGGGCAUGCCUGUUCGAGCGUCAUUUCAACCCUCGAGCCCGACUCUUUUGAGGACGGCUCGGCGUUGGGGGACGGCAGACUCCCCCCGGCAUCUCGCCGGGGACGCCGCCCCCGAAAUCUAGUGGCGGCCCUCCGAGGCGACCUCUGCGUAGUAACUUGUUCUCGCACCGGAAAGCUCAGAGCGGCCACGCCGUAAAACCCCAACUUUUUUCAGGUUGACCUCGAAUCAGGUAGGACUACCCGCUGAACUUAAGCAUAUU
rnacentral:rRNA from 1 species